rnacentral:misc_RNA from 1 species
GAAAAUGACUUUGGUCUCGUACCAAAUCAACACCUGUGUGCACUCAUUGUCUGUCUUUGGUAGUUCGAGUCGUCCUCCAACGGAACUCAACAUUCCGGAGGGUGCUACCGACCGGCGCCGAAAGGGGUCGGUUCGGUUGGGCUACCGCCUUUCCAUUGAACAAACCUUUUGUUUUCGUUUAUGCAGUCUGAAAUUUUUGAGUUAAUCCUCACAGAUUAAUGAAUAAAAUA